rnacentral:rRNA from 1 species
AAACUUUCAACAACGGAUCUCUUGGUUCUGGCAUCGAUGAAGAACGCAGCGAAAUGCGAUAAGUAAUGUGAAUUGCAGAAUUCAGUGAACCAUCGAAUCUUUGAACGCACAUUGCGCCCAGCAGUAAUCUGCUGGGCAUGCCUGUCCGAGCGUCAUUU